AUUGAACGCUGGCGGCAGGCCUAACACAUGCAAGUCGAGCGAGCGGCGGACGGGUGAGUAAUGUCUGGGAAACUGCCUGAUGGAGGGGGAUAACUACUGGAAACGGUAGCUAAUACCGCAUACCAUCAGAUGUGCCCAGAUGGGAUUAGCUGGUAGGUGGGGUAACGGCCCACCAAGGCGAUGAUCAGUAGCCGGUCUGAGAGGAUGACCAGCCACACUGGAACUGAGCCACGGUCCAGACUCCUACGGGAGGCAGCAGUGGGGAAUAUUGCACAAUGGGCGCAAGCCUGAUGCAGCCAUGCCGCGUGUGUGAAGAAGGCCUUCGGGUUGUAAAGCACUUUCAGCGGGGAGGCGUUACCCGCAGAAGAAGCACCGGCUAACUCCGUGCCAGCCGCCGCGGUAAUUC
rnacentral:rRNA from 1 species